GUGCCAGCAGCCGCGGUAAUACCGGCAGCUCAAGUGAUGUCCCAUAUUAUUGGGCCUAAAGCGUCCGUAGCUGGCCGACCAAGUCUCCCGGGAAAUCCACCCGCCCAACGGGUGGGCGUCCGGUAGAAACUGUGUGGCUUGGAACCGGAAGGCUCGAAGGGUACGUUCGGGGUAGGAGUGAAAUCCCAUAAUCCCGGACGGACUACCGAUGGCGAAAGCACUCUGAGAAGACGGCUUCGACAGUGAGGGACGAAAGCUCGGGUCUCAAACCGGAUUAGAUACCCGUGUAGUCC
rnacentral:rRNA from 1 species